rnacentral:rRNA from 1 species
UGUACUAGUAGCAAAAUCUAUUGUUUCUUGAAGACAACUGAGGAUGGAGAAAACAAGGAGAAACUAUUUUUUUUUAAAAAACAGGUAAAAAUUAUUUUUUUUGAAAAAAAUUUCAAAUCCCAACAAAAGACAAAGAGACCCUUUAAAAUUUAAAAACUCAAUAUAUUAAAAAACUUCUGUCUUUGUUUAGGUGGGGAGAUUGACAAAUAUAAUUUCCUUUUUUUAAAUAAAUACUGAAAGUAAUUUAAAUUAUCCACCCCCAAAAUAAAACAAAUUACCCUAGGGAACCCAGGGCAAAUUUUUUCGAAAGUUCCCAUUGACAAAAUGUAUUGCGACUGCAAGGUGGGGCUACGAACACAUAAACUCCU